CCUUUAUCUCCAUAAGGAUCUGCGCAUAAAGAGUGGUUAGAGGGGCAUAGGAGUCAUACCAAUUAUUGGGUUUUUGGGCUUCAAAUUUGGUCGGGGAGGCGGAGCCUCCCUCUCAGAGCAGGUUCAGCUAGGUCCUAUAGAGGUCCCUUCCUUAUUCGUCUUCUUUUUCUGACUUUUGCCCUCAAAUUGGUGCCAGUCAGUUACACCUUCCUUGGUGUAGAUGUACUUUUGUGCGCACUAGAGGACUUCGACAUAGGAUCGAAGAAGCAUCUUAUCUAGAAAAUAAGUAAAUCUGAAACUAUGCAAUCCACACUU
rnacentral:lncRNA from 1 species